rnacentral:lncRNA from 1 species
GGAUGCCCACCCCUCAAGAGGUGAAGUGGUGUAAGGUCCGGUUUCUUCCCAUCCCAGAUUUCGAAUUUCUGGAUUAGGGAUGCUCAGCCUGUACCAUAUUCAUAUAUGCAGCAAACCACAAAGGCUUAUUUUAACCAAACUAAUAUUACAGGUGGCUAAUCAUAUACAUAUACACACAUAUGUCUACUGUUUUAACGCCGCUGUAAUGGCUCUGUAAAAUGUCUCAGUCAACUGAGUUCUGUUUGGCUGUCCCCCCUUCCUCUUGCCACCCUCGAUACCAUAUUAGGGACCUAAAGGAAUUUCUGGCAGCUUGUGAUCUCUUGAGUAAACAGAAAAGGCAUCAAAGACUCCUCUUUUUGGGAAGAAUCUCUGUUUUUCCUCACAGAAUACCAAGAGUUGUAAGCAGACAGAUUCCUCUCAGAUCUAAAACUCUGCUCUUUUCUGUAUUGUAUUACCUGAUCUCUUCAGCUUUCUGGGGACCCAGGAUUCAGUGAUUUGGGGUGAUCUAAAACCUGCCUUCCAGUAAGUAUUAGGCCCUAAAAACUGCCCUCUUGAAACCAGUAAUCUAAUAAGGAAACAAGUUAAGUUGAAAAGAGGACACUUUUUUUUUUUUUUUUUUUUUGAGACAGAGUCUCGCUCUGUUGCCCAGGCUAGAGUGCAGAGGUGCAAUCUUGGCUCACUGCAACCUCCUUCUGGCAAUCAACUUGUUUUCAGGUAAUGGUGUUUAGGUACAAUGAACUGUGUUUUGCCAGAAUUCUCACUUUGC